rnacentral:rRNA from 1 species
UACGUAGGGUGCAGGCGUUUAAUCGGAAUUACUGGGCGUAAAGCGUGCGCAGGCGGUCUUUUAAGUCAGAUGUGAAAUCCCCGGGCUUAACCUGGGAACUGCGUUUGAAACUGAAAGGCUAGAGUGUGGCAGAGGGGGGUGGAAUUCCGCGUGUAGCAGUGAAAUGCGUAGAGAUGCGGAGGAACACGAUGGCGAAGGCAGCCCCCCUGGGCUGACACUGACGCUCAGGCACGAAAGCGUGGGGAGCAAACAGGA